GGAGCGGCGCAGCGACGGCGGCGGCAGUGGUGGCGGCGGUUGCGAUUCUUAGCCGUUGAGACGCCUCUGCGGCAGCUGGUGGCGCAGGUGGCUUGCGUGGACGCGGGCGGAGGCGGCCGGCCCGCCACCGCAGCCUCAGCGCCCACGGACCCGGCAGGCCCGUCGGGACACCCCGAGGCAUCCUCCCCCGCCCGCCGGCGAGGGAGCCUGGGCUCAUCCGCGCUCCCGCAUCUCUCUGCCGCGCGCACCGCCGCAUCUCCUCUUGGUUUUGGGACCCCCGGCCUCGCCCCCGAGACAUGACUCGCGAUUUCAAACCUGGAGACCUCAUCUUCGCCAAGAUGAAAGGUUAUCCUCAUUGGCCAGCUCGAGUAGAUGAAGUUCCUGAUGGAGCUGUAAAGCCACCUACAAAUAAGCUACCCAUUUUCUUUUUUGGAACUCAUGAGACUGCUUUUUUAGGACCAAAGGAUAUAUUUCCCUACUCAGAAAAUAAGGAGAAAUAUGGCAAACCAAAUAAACGAAAAGGUUUUAAUGAAGGUUUAUGGGAAAUAGAUAACAAUCCAAAAGUGAAAUUUUCAAGUCAACAGGCAUCAACUAAACAAUCAAAUACAUCAUCUGAUGUUGAAAUUGAAGAAAAAGAAACUAGUGUUUCAAAGGAAGAUACUGAUCAUGAAGAAAAAGCCAGCAAUGAGGAUGUGACUAAAGCAAUUGAUAUAACCACUCCAAAAGCUGCCAGAAGGGGGAGAAAGAGAAAGGCAGAAAAACAAGUAGAAACGGAGGAGGCAGGAGUAGUGACAACAGCAUCAGCAUCUGUUAAUCUAAAAGUGAGUCCUAAAAGAGGACGACCUGCAGCUACAGAAGUCAAGAUUCCAAAACCAAGAGGCAGACCCAAAAUGGUAAAACAGCCCUGUCCUUCAGAGAGUGACAUGAUUACUGAAGAAGACAAAAGUAAGAAAAAGGGGCAAGAGGAAAAACAACCCAAAAAGCAGCUUAAAAAGGAUGAAGAGGGCCAGAAGGAAGAAGAUAAACCAAGAAAAGAGCCUGACAAAAAAGAGGGGAAAAAAGAAGUUGAAUCAAAAAGGAAAAAUUUAGCUAAAACGGGGGUUACAUCAACCUCUGAUUCUGAAGAAGAAGGAGAUGAUCAAGAAGGUGAAAAGAAGAGAAAGGGUGGACGAAACUUUCAGACUGCUCACAGGAGGAAUAUGCUGAAAGGCCAGCAUGAGAAAGAAGCAGCAGAUCGAAAACGCAAGCAAGAGGAACAAAUGGAAACUGAGCAGCAGAAUAAAGAUGAAGGAAAGAAGCCAGAAGUUAAGAAAGUGGAGAAGAAGCGAGAAACAUCAAUGGAUUCUCGACUUCAAAGGAUACAUGCUGAAAUAAAAAAUUCACUCAAAAUUGAUAAUCUUGAUGUGAACAGAUGCAUUGAGGCCUUGGAUGAACUUGCUUCACUUCAGGUCACAAUGCAACAAGCUCAGAAACACACAGAGAUGAUUACAACCCUGAAAAAAAUACGGCGAUUCAAAGUUAGUCAAGUUAUCAUGGAAAAGUCUACCAUGUUGUAUAACAAGUUUAAGAACAUGUUUUUGGUUGGUGAAGGAGAUUCUGUCAUCACACAAGUGUUGAAUAAAUCUCUUGCUGAACAAAGACAACAUGAGGAAGCGAAUAAAACCAAAGAUCAAGGGAAGAAAGGCCCAAACAAAAAGCAAGAAAAAGAACAAAUGGGUUCAAAGACUCUGAAUGGAGGAUCUGAUGCUCAAGACAGUAAUCAGCCACAGCAUAAUGGAGAUAGCAAUGAAGAAAGUAAAGACAACCAUGAGGCCAGCAGUAAGAAAAAGCCAUCCGGUGAAGAGAGAGAGACUGAGAUAUCUCUGAAGGAUUCUACACUAGAUAACUAGGUUGACAUACCUGGAAUAUAAAGAACAUUUGACAACAGAAUUUUCUAUCUGUUCAAUGUUACUGGCACCACUGGAUACAGGAAAGUAAAAAUUUAGGCACAAUGUAAGGCAGCCAUGGAGGGGCCUCUUUAGUUCUCUAUGCCUAUGCUGAUCCUCUACUGAUUGAAUGAGUGAAUGAAAACACCUCUAGACAUACCAGAAACAGAUAUUUAAAGGAUCUUUACCUUGGAAGCCUCAUGGUAGAAGGUGUAGCAAUCACAUUCUUCAAAGAAUUUUCAAAACAUUUCCACCGCUUGAUGUAUCAUUGAUUCUAUCAUUAGCAAAAAAUACUCAGGAUACAGAAUGAAUAGGCAAGCAUGGAUUGGGAGAAAAGAAUCAGAAUUUGUGUAUGUGACAAAAGAUUAAUAUAUUCAGAAUAUAUGAAGUACUUCUUCAAGAUAAAAUGAGUAAAAAGCAAUAAAUAAAUAUACUCUGGAAUAAAUACUAAGUGAAAUAAUUUAGCAUUUUCUAAAUAUUUGGACCUGUUUUUAAUUAAAGGUUCCAGGAUCAACAUAAGGAUAAGCAAGGAAUUCCCCCAGUUUGUUGCCUUCUGAAUCGUAGUGGAGCAUUCGGAAGCAAACAUCACAAAAGAAACAUGGGUCCUCUGGUGCAAAACUGUCACUGUUCGUCACCCAUCUGUAGUUUUUAGAAAAAGAUGUAUGUCAUUAUAAAUCAAGUUUUUCAUGCCUCAACAUGCUAUAACCUGUAAACAGAACAUUCCCACUAUUAUCAGUCCAUGCCCCUAACACUAAUGCUGCUGCUUUGUAAAACUUCCUUUUAAAGGUAAGUAGAAAACUAUAAUAAUCUCAAAAUGUAUACUCAAAAGUAUACAUUUGCCAUGAUACAACCUGUCCUCCAGACAUGUUCUAUUUCUUCUAAAAGGCAAUCUUAAACACACAGACUCAAUAUAAUUCUACAUGCUGGCAAACCUCAAACUCUUUCCAGUUAUAUAUCAAAUUGUUUAGAUUACAGUUAUGUUAUUGUGUCCCACCUGUGCUGUUCUAAUUUUAAUAUGUGUGCUUCUGAAAACAAUUCCUUUUUUAAACUGGUAUAUUAGUACUGCUGUUCUGAAAACACGAAUGUUUUAAAUUCUAAAUUAGACACAAGGGAAUGUGUGCAUAGUGAUAUUCAAGUGAGAUUGUUUUUGGGAUUGAGAAUGUUAACUGUUCACAGGAUGAAAAUACUACUUUCCAGUCUAAUUGAAGUCUCCAUUUCAUGGAAUGUUUGCUUUUAAUAUCUUGAUCUGGUAAACUGAUUUGUUUUUCUAUUGAUCCUUUAAAUGUGUAUUAUUGGGGCUGGAGUUGUGGCUCAGUGGUAGAGCACUCGCCUAGUAUGUGUGAGGCACUGGGUCAAUCCUCAGCAUCACAUUAUUUAAUAAAAAGUUUUGUUAAGUAUAUUGUGGUUGGGAAUCCAAAAUAAACUUUUAAGGUACUAAA